rnacentral:rRNA from 1 species
UACGUAGGCAGCAAGCGUUGUUCGGAUUUACUGGGCGUAAAGAGUGCGUAGGCGGUGCUCUAAGUUUGGUGUGAAAUCUCCCGGCUCAACUGGGAGGGUGCGCCGAAAACUGGAGUGCUUGAGUAUGGGAGAGGCAAGCGGAAUUCCUGGUGUAGCGGUGAAAUGCGUAGAUAUCAGGAGGAACACCUGUGGUGUAGACAGCUUGCUGGACCAUCACUGACGCUGAGGCACGAAAGCGUGGGGAGCAAACGGG